rnacentral:rRNA from 1 species
CACGUAGGGUGCGAGCGUUGUCCGGAAUUAUUGGGCGUAAAGAGCUCGUAGGCGGUGUGUCGCGUCGGCCGUGAAAACCUGCAGCUUAACUGUGGGCUUGCGGUCGAUACGGGCAUCACUGGAGUUCGGCAGGGGAGACUGGAAUUCCUGGUGUAGCGGUGAAAUGCGCAGAUAUCAGGAGGGAACACCGGUGGCGGAAGGCGGGUCUCU